GUAGUUAGCCGGUGCUUCUUCUGUGAGUGAUGUCCUUCCUGCCGGCUAUUAACCCGCAGGCCUUCUUCCUCACUGAAAGUGCUUUACAACCCGAAGGCCUUCUUCACACACGCGGCAUGGCUGGAUCAGGGUUGCCCCCAUUGUCCAAUAUUCCCCACUGCUGCCUCCCGUAGGAGUCUGGGCCGUGUCUCAGUCCCAGUGUGGCUGAUCAUCCUCUCAGACCAGCUACGGAUCGUCGCCUUGGUGAGCCGUUACCUCACCAACCAGCUAAUCCGACAUAGGCUCAUCCGAUAGCGCGAGGCCCGAAGGUCCCCCGCUUUCCCCCGUAGGGCGUAUGCGGUAUUAGCCUGGGUUUCCCCAGGUUAUCCCCCACUACCGGGCAGAUUCCUAUGCAUUACUCACCCGUCCGCCGCUCGCCACCAGGGAGCAAGCUCCCCGUGCUGCCGCUCGACUUGCAUGUGUUAGGCCUGCCGCCAGCGUUCAAUCUGAGCCAUAAUCAAACUCUGA
rnacentral:rRNA from 1 species